AAGCAAAAGGAAGGGGGGGGGGGAGCUCGGGGAGUGUAUGUGUGUGUAUUUAUGGGAAAAGGAGGGAUUCUGAGAAGAAGGUGAAACGGAAUGAGAGGCCGUAGGGGGAAGACAGAACGUGACAGUCAAUUUAUUUUCCUUCCUCGACAGCAGUUUUCAAGAUUGCACAAAGAAGGAACCUUUUCAACACUGCAACUCUUGGCUCAACCCUCCUCCUCCUCCUUAUUAACCAUCAACCUUCGUCUUUGCUUCUGCUUCUUAGCUUCUCAUGUGGGUUUCUUUUCCUUAGCACGAUCACCUGCUUCGGAAUCUCUCUCUCGAUGGCUUUUGGGAUUUGAUCUGGGAUUUUAUGUGAAUGUGAGCUGAUUUGCCGUUUGGUUUUCAGCGAUAUCUUCUGCCGGGGGUCAUCUUGGAGGCCAGCACAUUCAAGAGGUCUUCAAUGGAGGAAGAUCUUCAACAAGAGACUAAGCUGAUGGCUAGCAGCCGCGUGUUCUACAUCAAGCUGAACAUCCAAAAAGCUCAGUCCAGCAGUGAAAAAGACGGCGGCGACGGCUAUGAGGAAGAAGAAGACGAUGCGGAAUAUCCGGCGGCAACUGAGUCGACUUCUCGGGUAUGCGUGUUUUGCAGGAAAGGGUUUAGCUCAGGGAAAGCCUUGGGCGGUCACAUGAGAAUUCACGUUCAGUCCACCAAAAAGCCUGUUCGCAAGAAGAUUCACAGACGGAAGUUCAAGAGAAGCCGUAGCAACAACGACAGCCGGGGGAGCUCGGCCACGAACGAUCACCGGACUUGUGUGAUUUGCGCCAAGAGUUUCCCUUCGAUGAAGUCCUUGUACGGGCACAUGAGAUCGCAUCCCGAGAGGGACUGGAGGGGAGUUCAGCCUCCUCCAGCCACCGCAGCCAAACAAAGCUCAUCAUCCACUGUCUCGGAUUCAGUGGUCGUUCGGAAGACGGACGAUGAUCAGAUUGUUGGUUUUGAUGAUGAUCCUAAGGAGAGGAGCUCAAGUGUUGUUGAUCUAUCAAAAUCCGUCCCUGGAUGGGGGGUCACCUCUAAGAGAGGCAAGAAAGCUGGUACACCCUCUGUCACCGGCUCGGGAUUGGGGUCCGGUUCAGGCUCAGGCUCAGGCGAGGGUGUGGGUUUAGACGCACAGGUGCAAGAAGCUCUUGUGAUGCUUGCUAAUGGGAAUCCACCGGGUAGAGUCUCGCCAUUGAUUAAGCCCAGAACUGAGGCAACAACUGAUGACAAGGAUGAGCAUAAGAUGGAGGAGAAUUACGAAGCCAAUUGCUUCAUAGAUUCUUAUUCUGGUAUUGAAGCUAGAAACUGCAUUGAAAUAGCAGAAUACAAAGAACCGGAGGCCGUUUCAGAAACUGGGUUAAAACCUAAAGAGCCUGUAAAUAUAAUGAUGAACUGUGUUGAAGAAGAGCAGGUACAAUGUUCCUACUAUGAACUUUUCCGCAAGUUGAAGAAGCGGAGAAAGAUCAAAAGGCUCAGAAACUUGGAAGAAGUACAUGCUGGUAAUGAUGUCCAGAAUAGGAUCAUCGAUCCUGUGACACCUGUUAGGUUCAAGUGCAGUAUUUGCAACAAGUCCUUUUCAAGCCACCAAGCCUUGGGUGGUCACAAGUCCAGCCACAACAAGCCCACCAAGAACAGUCAAACUAUCACAAGAGAUCGUGAAUCCAUGGGGGCGGAGUCCUCGGCAGUACGUGAAAGUUACAGGCUUAAUGCAGACUUGAGUACCUCGUCUAGCCAAGCGGCUAAUCCGCCCGGCGCAGCCAGCGAGACGAGCGGCAAAGUCCUGGAUUUCGACCUCAAUGAGUUCCCACCAAAGGAGGACGAUAAGGAAGGGGUUGUUGGUCUUGGUGCUGAUUCUGGGCCUUGUGGUGUCUGAACCAUGUUUUGAGGAGCUGGUUUUUGUACAUUUUCUCUGACAAAUUCGGUUUAGCAAGAAGCGACUUUUAAAAAGUUCAGAACUUUGAUAUUCCUAGGAAGUGUAGAGAAAGUUUUCAGGUCAUCGGUGGGAACUCAAGUUUUGAGCUUUUUCUGAUAGUUUUUAGCUUUUUUGUCCUUUUCUUCUUGGUGAUGGUUUAUGGUGUUGGGAACAAUUUGGGGUCUUUGAGGAACCCUCUUGGUUUUUUCUUUAUUUUCUUAAAGUGGGGUCUCUUUCCGGGUCAUAUCAUAUUUGUCCACUUUUGUGUUUUUAUUUUUCUCGACCUUCAUCCCAGGCUUGAUUGUACAGCCAGGGGAAAGAUCCAAACUGACCCGCUAGUGUUGAUGACGUUGAGAAAGUUUACGCAGAACAGAAAUAUUUAUAUUAAUUGAAGAUUAUUGCAAGGCCGUGAGGAAAAGCAAUGAGAAGUGGAGGCCCCGAGCAGAGGAGAUGUCGUGCUGGGAGGAAAAAGAUGUGAUUGAAGUCAACCACCAAUGGGAACGAAUGUGUGCAUUUUUGAGUGAAGCACAAGAAAUACAACUUUCCUUGUGCUUAGGUUUUUGUGAGUUCGCACUUUUUGUCAAGAGAACUUUUGUAGGAAAUACAGGAGAGUUCCACAACUUUGCAAUCUCCAUCAAAUAACUGCUGGUGGGGCCAGUUGAAAAGGUCUUUGCAUACUGACAGAGAUUGAAGAAUUGUUUUUUCUUUAUUGAGAAAGUACUUCUUUAAGCGUGAUCUUGUGACUCGGAGGGAGUUGGAAGGAAGGAACCACGGUUCACCCAGGAAAAAAGUGAAUAUGAUAAUCGAAAUGGGCUUUCUCAGUU